AAAACUACUGGUUGUCGCAGACGAACUAAAAAUAGCCUUUACUGUGCUAGCUGUGAUAUCAAUAGUUCUCACUGUCGUGUUCCUGUUAGUUACGAUCGUCAAAUGGAAGACACAGUUAAUUCAAAACUCAUGGCCACUGAUGAACAGUGUCAUUGCACUGGGAUGCAUCUUCCUGGCUGUCAAUGUCAUUCUUCAAGGCAGUGCAACACAGCUGUCGUCGACUAGCAAUGUACCAUGUAAUGCCUUUGUCUGGCUAUUUGUGACUGGGUUUACACUGUC